CAGUCAGCUUGUUAAGUAAUUAGCAAGUAGUCAUAAGUCAGCCACUUAUGCAACGAAGAAACUGAAUUGCGGAAAAACCGUAAAGCUUCUAAAACAACAACGUAAUUUUGAAAGAAAAAUCAGCGUGAUUGUGGCGAAAGCAGAAAAAAUUUAGAAGAUGGUAUAAGGUUAAAGCCUAAGUACUGUAUGAAUCGGCAAUCCGCAGCCAAGCUCUGAAUAGGAGAAGGUUCAACGACUAUUCCUCGUGAGGGAAGUACACUAUAAGCGAUUGAUAGUGGAAGUGGUUUCGCCCUAACAGAUGACACUUAGGGAAAAGAGAUAGUCUGUGCUUAUGUGAAAGCAUAAG
rnacentral:ncRNA from 1 species